GGAUUAGAUACCCUGGUAGUCCACGCCGUAAACGAUGUCUACUAGCCGUUGGGAGACUUGAUCUUUUAGUGGCGCAGCUAACGCGAUAAGUAGACCGCCUGGGGAGUACGGCCGCAAGGUUAAAACUCAAAUGAAUUGACGGGGGCCCGCACAAGCGGUGGAGCAUGUGGUUUAAUUCGACGCAACGCGAAGAACCUUACCAACUCUUGACAUCCAGAGAAGUUACUAGAGAUAGUUUCGUGCCUUCGGGAACUCUGAGACAGGUGCUGCAUGGCUGUCGUCAGCUCGUGCCG
rnacentral:rRNA from 1 species